rnacentral:sRNA from 1 species
GGAGCUCCUAGAAGCUGCCAGCCAGCAAAACCAGCCCCUACAGGCCCAGUUGAGCCUCAUGGCUCUCCCUGGGGAAG